AUUUGUUGUCAUUAAAGGGAGUAAUUAAGGACAAUUUAAGUAUAUCUUCAUUUUAUUUUAAGGUUAUUAAUACAGGGAUUCCUUGAUUAAGGGGGGAAAUUAAGAGGAAAUCGAAAUGUAUGGGGUAAAUUCAGUAGGCUUUUCUCCUUAAUUGACCUUAAUGCACAGUUUUACUUAAAAACUAAUACUAUAAAAUAAGGAUUUUAAGGUCAAAAGUAAGGCAUUAAUAAGUGGUGAAAUUAAGUGGUUUUGUUUCGUAGUGACCACAAUGAGGUUUUGAACACAACAUGAAGUAA